rnacentral:miRNA from 1 species
UUGUGUAGAGGCAAGAAAUAUGC